CUGUACUCUAAGGACAGUUUAUUCAGAAUUACAGAGCAGCCUGGAUGAAGACACUCAGCUGAAAAUGUGGACAUCUCAAGACAGGCACUGGACAAUGGCUGUCAGACUUGACUGAAGACUGGAAAUGUUUUGCUAUCUCACAGGAAAAGAAGGCCC
rnacentral:sRNA from 1 species